rnacentral:snoRNA from 1 species
UAUCCCAUUUUAGUACCAUUUAUUUAUAACUGCAGGAUGAAUGGCUAUGCAAAUGGGAGAAAGGAAACCUGCUUAGUCUGAUGGGAAAAGUGGCUAUUUAACCCAUUUUGCCUGAAGGCAAAGGGCAGGACAUGAUUUU